rnacentral:rRNA from 1 species
AUGAACGCUGGCGGCGUGCCUAAUACAUGCAAGUCGAGCGAACAGACGAGGAGCUUGCUCCUCUGACGUUAGCGGCGGACGGGUGAGUAACACGUGGAUAACCUACCUAUAAGACUGGGAUAACUUCGGGAAACCGGAGCUAAUACCGGAUAAUAUAUUUAACCGCAUGGUUCAAUAGUUAAAGACGGUUUUGCUGUCACUUAUAGAUGGAUCCGCGCCGAAUUAGCUAGUUGGUAAGGUAACGGCUUACCAAGGCAACGAUGCGUAGCCGACCUGAGAGGGUGAUCGGCCAAACUGGAACGGAGACACGGCCCAGACUCCUACGGGAGGCAGCAGUAGGGAAUCUUCGGCAAUGGGCGAAAGCCUGACGGAGCAACGCCGCGUGAGUGAUGAAGGUCUUCGGAUCGUAAAACUCUGUUAUUAGGGAAGAACAAAUGUGUAAGUAACUAUGCACGUCUUGACGGUACCUAAUCAGAAAGCCACGGCUAACUACGUG